UACGUAGGGUGCAAGCGUUGCCCGGAUUUAUUGGGCGUAAAGGGCGCGUAGGCGGCCACGCACGUCCGUUGUGAAAUCGCCCGGCUCAACUGGGCGGGGUCGGCGGAUACGGCGUGGCUGGAGCAAGCUAGGGGGCAAUGGAAUUCCCGGUGUAGUGGUGGAAUGCGUAGAUAUCGGGAGGAACACCAGUGGCGAAGGCGACUUCCUGGCCUGUUCUUGACGCUGAGGCGCGAAAGCUAGGGGAGCAAACGGG
rnacentral:rRNA from 1 species